GAAAACAAGUCAAGUUUCGAGGAAAAGUAGUGCAAUUGUUAAUCAAGCGCCCACCUGGAGAACAAAGGGAAAGCACCUCAGAAUACAAUUCAAGUCAGCAAUAAAGGAAGCUCACCUAGAGAGUACAAGUCAAUAGAGCAGCAGAAACUGCAAGAUCAAGUUUGAAUAAGUGUGGAUAGGAUUCCUGUAAUUCAUAGAUCAUAAGUUUAGUCCAGCUUCUUUUUAUUUUGUCUUGGUGUAAAAAGGGGUUCAACAAGCAGUAGCAACAACAACAACAGUGAAAUCACAGCUUCCUGGUAGUUCCUACUACCGAAACUUCCCAAACUAUACUGACCUGAUUCUUUUAGCCAAGGAUAUAUAGGCAACCCGGAAGCAGGGUGCGGUCAAAUUUUUCAAAAGCUUCCCACGGAGUAUCCAAAUGGGUAAAAAUCACUCGUAUCCUCUCACUUUAUCUUUGCACGAAAACUCUUCGUGUUUCCAAGCAAAGAGGGGUAGCUUUGAGCAUGUGAUUUUGCCCUAUGUGAAUUACUCUCAUAAAAUACAAGAAAAAUAAUUUUUUCCAUUUUUACAAUUUUAUAGAAUUUUGUGGAAAUUUGUGCUAAUUGUUUGCAUUUCUGCGCAUGUUUAUUUGUGUUAAAAAAUUAUGAAAAGCCAAAAAUACCAUGCAUUGAAUUUAGGUCAUUUUUUAUGUUUAAUUAGUCAAUUAUUUGAUUUAUUAAAAUUGAAAAUCAAAAAUUAGUUUAUUUUUGCAUUUUUAGCCUUUUAGCAUUAAAUUAGUAAUUUCUUCUUUUAAUUUAGGAGUAAUUAACUUUCAUAAAUACCUUAGUAAAUAAUUAGUUUAAUUUUACAACCUAGUUUAAUUUAAGAGUCUUAAUUAGGUUUUUAAUUAAUUGAAAAGGAAAAGAAAACAAUUAUAAAAGGAAAUAAAAGAGAACAAAAUUGAGAAUUUGAUUAAAAGACCCGAAAUUGGGCCAGUUCAAUGAAAAAACCCAAACCAAUCCUUCUACCCGCCCAGGCCCAAUCCCUAACCCGGUCCAGCCCCAACCCCAAGCCAAACAGUGUCGUUUUAUUCAAACGAAUCCCAUCCGUUGAUCUUCUUCUCAUCGAACGGAUGGGAAUUGGUCACUAGGACAAUAUAAGAAUGUCUGAACGAGCCCUACCCCCCAGUUCCAUCUGCUUCAUUUCACACCUCUCAGACUCAGAAACCAAAACCCUAACCACCGCCCUAAAUUCCCAAGCUCCUACCGGCCGGCGGCGGGCUCCAAACCACCCCAAAUUCAUACCACGCAACCCCCAGGCCCUCCUAAAUCCUAUCCCCACAUAUAUUUCCCAAAAAUCCCAAUGAAAUUCCCCCAAUUCCAAAUCUAGGAAUUUCAAAUCCUAAAUUAUUCUAUUUUUCUAAUUCCGCGCAAGUUCCGGCUCGCUUUGACCUAUAGCCUAUGUUAGUCAAUUGCUCUUAACGAGAGCAAUCGAUUGGCAUUGGUUUUAGUUCAUUCCGAGGAUGCCGGAUUUUGACGAACUCAUCGGAUUCCGGCCAAAUAUCUACUCCCAUCAUCAUUCGUCGAUUUGUUUCAUUUUGUAAAGACAUUCCGGCGUGAAUUGAUAGUUUCCCCUCUUUUUUCUCACGACUCUGUCCGUUGUAGUAUUUUCUGUUAUUUAUUUAUUUAUUUACUUUUAUUAGCUUCAUUGUUUUUGUCUUGUUUUCUUUAGUAGUGGAAUGCAUCUUAUUUUUGGUGGUUAAGUUAAGUUUAAUCAUAUUCUGGAUUGUUUUUUUUUUUUUCUGAAUUUGAUCCUUUUGUUUGAGCAUUUUUGAUGGUUUGAGUUUUUGUAUUAACUGUGGUCAUCAUUGACCCAGUUGAGAGACCCGUUCAUUUGGGUCUUGGGUUAAUUUGACCCAAGUUUGCAUUCUGAAUGUAAAAAUAAGGAGGUCAGGGGGCAUUUUGGGCAUUUGAGGGUAGGGAAUCACUUUCUGUUGGGAAGAAGCUUCUAGAGGUUAAAUUUGGAGCUGGUUUGUUAAGAGAUAAGGAAGGGUCAGAUAUUUUAAAGGAGUAAAAAGGGUAAAAUGGCUAAGAAAAGCAGGGGCGGGAAGGGAAAAUGUUAGCUAGGUUAGGGCUGCCUUAGGAGUGCCUAUAUAAAGACCUCUUUCAUUCAUUUUUGAAGCAGCCAUUGAUACUUUUAAAAAAAUAUGUCCUGCAAUCUUUAGUCAAAUAGAUAGCAUUACAAAUCACAACUACGUCACGGGAGCCGUACCCGUAGCCAUGAUAAUUUAUUCGGACGCGCCUAAAGCAAGUUACAAUGUUCAUAAAUUAUUUUCUAAACUACUUUAGCAUUAUUGUAAGGCCAUAAGAGUAUGUAAUUUAUUGGAAAAGCAUGAAAUAGAUUAAUUUAAUCGUUCACGAACUAAAAAAGGGGGCAAUUUUAUAAGAUUAAUGGACCUAGCAGAUUUUCAAGUUUUAGCUCAAAGAUAAACUAACUUUCUUUAUUAGCUCAUUGUAACCUCACAACCCCACUACCUUCAGACAGCCCACGUAGUCUAGGUCUAACAGAUUUCAACGUAUUUCACCAGUGACCUAAUUCUAGUCAAACUUAUUUAACAACUUAACUCUGUACUUUAGACCAUUAAUAACUUGAUUAUAGGUGAAACUACUAAAACACAUUUAUCAACACAUGAAAAGGACUAAAUGACCAAAUAGAGACAUAAACCUUGCGCAAAUUUCCAUUUCAAUAAGAAACUGCCUUUUAUGAUUAACAUUCACAACUCACUUAUCUUUUAGUUUUUAGUAAUCUUAAUCCAAAUUUCAUUAAACUAUUCUUGGGAUGAACCCUUUUAAGAGAACAAGCUAAUAAACUUCACUUCACUCGAAUACAACUAAAGUUAUGUAUAUUUAGUAUCAAAAUAAAAAUAUGAAUGACAUCUAAAAUGAAAUAAGGUCAAUCACGUAAGGAAACUAAAGUUUCAACACAUAUCAAUAACCCACAACACUUGUAUUCAAACCAUUAUGAAGAGAACAUGAUGCAUAAAUAAACUAAAAAAAAUGAAAGAGAAUGGACCUUAAUUUGGCAAAACUUUAAUUUCUUGUUUUUUUUUUGUUUUGUCUUCUGCCGUUCGAACUCAAACAAGGGCCAGCGAACGAGACCUUGACAAACUGAACUCAACCGGAGCUUUGACGAAGCUCAAGAAUGGUGAUUUGAUAGUUAUUUCUGGGGUUUUAAAGCUGAAUUUUAGGCGAUUUCUGAACAGAUUUUCAGAUAUGUUUGGAUUUGAUUUCUGGACUGUUUUGGGUCGAAUUUUGGGGCUAAUUUGGGGUGAGUUUUAACUGGUUUUCUGCUUGGUUUUCAUGGCUAUUUUGCUGCCUUUUUCAGCUGUAAAUGGUGGUGUUUUGGAGGAACAAAAGGUGAAGUUAUGAGUGUUUUCAUGAUGGAGAAGAAAGGAGGAA
rnacentral:lncRNA from 1 species